rnacentral:rRNA from 1 species
UGAGGAACAUGACUUUCGGCGGGGGAUAGCCGGCCCAACGGCCGGGUAAUACCGCGUACGACCUUUUGGGGACAUCCCCGAUUGGUGAAAGCAGCAAUGCGCCGAAAGAGUGCCUCGCAGCCUAUCAGCUAGUUGGUGAGGUAACGGCUCACCAAGGCGACGACGGGUAGCUGGUCUGAGAGGAUGGCCAACCACAUUGGGACUGAGACACGGCCCAGACCUCCGUACGGGAGGCAGCAGG